UACGGGGGGGGCAAGCGUUGUUCGGAAUUACUGGGCGUAAAGGGCUCGUAGGCGGCCAACUAAGUCAGACGUGAAAUCCCUCGGCUUAACCGGGGAACUGCGUCUGAUACUGGAUGGCUUGAGUUUGGGAGAGGGAUGCGGAAUUCCAGGUGUAGCGGUGAAAUGCGUAGAUAUCAGGAGGAACACCAAUGGCGAAGGCAGCUCGCUGGAACGGUACUGACGCUGAGGCGCGAAAGCGUGGGGAGCAAACAGG
rnacentral:rRNA from 1 species